UGCAAGUCGAGCGGGGUGAUGGUGCUUGCACUAUCACUUAGCGGCGGACGGGUGAGUAAUGCUUAGGAAUCUGCCUAUUAGUGGGGGACAACAUCUCGAAAGGGAUGCUAAUACCGCAUACGUCCUACGGGAGAAAGCAGGGGAUCACUUGUGACCUUGCGCUAAUAGAUGAGCCUAAGUCGGAUUAGCUAGUUGGUGGGGUAAAGGCCUACCAAGGCGACGAUCUGUAGCGGGUCUGAGAGGAUGAUCCGCCACACUGGGACUGAGACACGGCCCAGACUCCUACGGGAGGCAGCAGUGGGGAAUAUUGGACAAUGGGGGGAACCCUGAUCCAGCCAUGCCGCGUGUGUGAAGAAGGCCUUAUGGUUGUAAAGCACUUUAAGCGAGGAGGAGGCUCUUUUGGUUAAUACCCAGGAUGAGUGGACGUUACUCGCAGAAUAAGCACCGGCUAACUCUGUGCCAGCAGCCGCGGUAAUACAGAGGGUGCAAGCGUUAAUCGGAUUUACUGGGCGUAAAGCGCGCGUAGGCGGCCAAUUAAGUCAAAUGUGAAAUCCCCGAGCUUAACUUGGGAAUUGCAUUCGAUACUGGUUGGCUAGAGUGUGGGAGAGGAUGGUAGAAUUCCAGGUGUAGCGGUGAAAUGCGUAGAGAUCUGGAGGAAUACCGAUGGCGAAGGCAGCCAUCUGGCCUAACACUGACGCUGAGGUGCGAAAAGCAUGGGGAGCAAACAGAUAGAUACCCUGGUAGUC
rnacentral:rRNA from 1 species